UGGGGAAUCUUGGACAAUGGGGGCAACCCUGAUCCAGCCAUGCCGCGUGAGUGAUGAAGGCCUUAGGGUCGUAAAGCUCUUUCGCCUGUGAAGAUAAUGACGGUAGCAGGUAAAGAAACCCCGGCUAACUCCGUGCCAGCAGCCGCGGUAAUACGGAGGGGGUUAGCGUUGUUCGGAAUUACUGGGCGUAAAGCGCACGUAGGCGGACCAGAAAGUUGGGGGUGAAAUCCCGGGGGCUCAACCCCGGAACUGCCUCCAAAACUAUUGGUCUAGAGUUCGAGAGAGGUGAGUGGAAUUCCAAGUGUAGAGGUGAAAUUCGUAGAUAUUUGGAGGAACACCAGUGGCGAAGGCGGCUCACUGGCUCGAUACUGACGCUGAGGUGCGAAAGUGUGGGGAGCAAACAGGAUUAGAUACCCUGGUAGUCCACACCGUAAAACGAUGAAUGCCAGUCGUCGGGUAGCAUGCUAUUCGGUGACACACCUAACGGAUUAAGCAUUCCGCCUGGGG
rnacentral:rRNA from 1 species